rnacentral:rRNA from 1 species
AUCUAUACUGUGAAACUGCGAAUGGCUCAUUAAAUCAGUUAUCGUUUAUUUGAUAGUACCUUACUACUUGGAUAACCGUGGUAAUUCUAGAGCUAAUACAUGCUAAAAACCCCAACUUCGGAAGGGGUGUAUUUAUUAGAUAAAAAACCAAUGCCCUUCGGGGCUCCUUGGUGAUUCAUGAUAACUUAACGAAUCGCAUGGCCUUGCGCCGGCGAUGGUUCAUUCAAAUUUCUGCCCUAUCAACUUUCGAUGGUAGGAUAGUGGCCUACCAUGGUAUCAACGGGUAACGGGGAAUUAGGGUUCUAUUCCGGAGAGGGAGCCUGAGAAACGGCUACCACAUCCAAGGAAGGCAGCAGGCGCGCAAAUUACCCAAUCCCGACACGGGGAGGUAGUGACAAUAAAUACUGAUACAGGGCUCUUUUGGGUCUUGUAAUUGGAAUGAGUACAAUUUAAAUACCUUAACGAGGAACAAUUGGAGGGCAAGUCUGGUGCCAGCAGCCGCGGUAAUUCCAGCUCCAAUAGCGUAUAUUAAAGUUGUUGCAGUUAAAAAGCUCGUAGUUGAACCUUGGGCCUGGCUGGCCGGUCCGCCUCACCGCGUGUACUGGUCCGGCCGGGCCUUUCCUUCUGGGGAUCCGCAUGCCCUUCACUGGGUGUGUCGGGGAACCAGGACUUUUACUUUGAAAAAAUUAGAGUGUUCAAAGCAGGCCUUUGCUCGAAUACAUUAGCAUGGAAUAAUAGAAUAGGACGUGCGGUCCUAUUUUGUUGGUUUCUAGGACCGCCGUAAUGAUUAAUAGGGAUAGUCGGGGGCAUCAGUAUUCAAUUGUCAGAGGUGAAAUUCUUGGAUUUAUUGAAGACUAACUACUGCGAAAGCAUUUGCCAAGGAUGUUUUCAUUAAUCAGUGAACGAAAGUUAGGGGAUCGAAGACGAUCAGAUACCGUCGUAGUCUUAACCGUAAACUAUGCCGACUAGGGAUCGGGCGAUGUUAUUCUUUUGACUCGCUCGGCACCUUACGAGAAAUCAAAGUCU